rnacentral:rRNA from 1 species
GACGAACGCUGGCGGCGUGCUUAACACAUGCAAGUCGAACGGAAAGGCCUGCUUUCCCUUGUGGAUUGCGGGUACUCGAGUGGCGAACGGGUGAGUAACACGUGAGUGAUCUGCCCCCAACUUGGGUAUAAGCCUGGGAAACUGGGUCUAAUUCCCGAUAGGACCGCAGGGUGGUGCCUGUGGUGGAAAACGAUUUUCUAGUGGUUGGGGAUGAGCUCGCGGCCUAUCAGCUUGUUGGUGGGGUAAUGGCCUACCAAGGCGGCGACGGGUAGCCGGCCUGAGAGGGUGGACGGCCACAUUGGGACUGAGAUACGGCCCAGACUCCUACGGGAGGCAGCAGUGGGGAAUAUUACACAAUGGGCGGAAGCCUGAUGCAGCGACGCCGCGUGGGGGAUGACGGCCUUCGGGUUGUAAACUCCUUUCGACCGCGAGGAAGCCACCUGGUUUGAAGGGUGGUGACGGUAGUGGUAGAAGAAGCACCGGCUAACUACGUG